CCUACGGGAGGCAGCAGUGAGGAAUAUUGGUCAAUGGGCGAGAGCCUGAACCAGCCAAGUCGCGUGAGGGAGUACUGCCCUAUGGGUUGUAAACCUCUUUUGUCGGGGAGCAAAAGCCGGACGUGUCCGGCUGUGAGAGUACCCGAAGAAAAAGCAUCGGCUAACUCCUUGCCGGCAGCCGCGGUAAUUGGGAGGAUGCUAGCGUGUUCCGGAUUUAUUGGGUUAAAAGGGUGCGCAGGCGGAUUUUUAAGUCAGCGGUCAAAUCGUGGGGCUAAACCCCAUCCAGCAGUUGAAACUGGGGAUCUAGAGUGUGCGAAAGGUAUGCGGAAUGCGUGGUGUAGCGGUGAAAUGCAUAGAUAUCACGCAGAACCCCGAUUGCGAAGGCAGCAUACCGGUGAACAACUGACGCUCAGGCACGAAAGCGUGGGUAUCGAACAGGAUUAGAUACCCUUGUAGUC
rnacentral:rRNA from 1 species